rnacentral:rRNA from 1 species
GUGGGGAAUAUUGGACAAUGGGCGAAAGCCUGAUCCAGCCAUGCCGCGUGUGUGAAGAAGGUCUUCGGAUUGUAAAGCACUUUAAGUUGGGAGGAAGGGCAGUAAGUUAAUACCUUGCUGUUUUGACGUUACCGACAGAAUAAGCACCGGCUAACUCUGUGCCAGCAGCCGCGGUAAUACAGAGGGUGCAAGCGUUAAUCGGAUUUACUGGGCGUAAAGCGCGCGUAGGUGGUUUUGUAAGUUGGAGGUGAAAUCCCCGGGCUCAACCUGGGAACUGCCUCCAAAACUGCAUGACUAGAGUACGGUAGAGGGUAGUGGAAUUUCCUGUGUAGCGGUGAAAUGCGUAGAUAUAGGAAGGAACACCAGUGGCGAAGGCGACUACCUGGACUGAUACUGACACUGAGGUGCGAAAGCGUGGGGAGCAAACAGGAUUAGAAACCCUUGUAGUCC